rnacentral:rRNA from 1 species
UACGUAGGGUGCGAGCGUUGUCCGGAAUUAUUGGGCGUAAAGAGCUUGUAGGCGGUUUGUCGCGUCUGCUGUGAAAAUCCGGGGCUCAACUCCGGACUUGCAGUGGGUACGGGCAGGCUAGAGUGUGGUAGGGGAGACUGGAAUUCCUGGUGUAGCGGUGGAAUGCGCAGAUAUCAGGAAGAACACCCGUGGCGAAGGCGGCUCUCUGGGACGGUACUGACGCUGAGACGCGAAAGCGUGGGGAGCAAACAGG